rnacentral:rRNA from 1 species
GAGUUUGAUCCUGGCUCAGGAUGAACGCUGGCGGCGUGCUUAACACAUGCAAGUCGAGCGAAGCGGCUGAAUUGAUUCUUCGGAUGAUUUUCAGUUGACUGAGCGGCGGACGGGUGAGUAACGCGUGGGUGACCUGCCCCAUACCGGGGGAUAACAGCUGGAAACGGCUGCUAAUACCGCAUAAGCGCACAGAGCUGCAUGGCUCGGUGUGAAAAACUCCGGUGGUAUGGGAUGGGCCCGCGUCUGAUUAGGCAGUUGGCGGGGUAACGGCCCACCAAACCGACGAUCAGUAGCCGGCCUGAGAGGGCGACCGGCCACAUUGGGACUGAGACACGGCCCAAACUCCUACGGGAGGCAGCAGUGGGGAAUAUUGCACAAUGGGGGAAACCCUGAUGCAGCGACGCCGCGUGAGCGAAGAAGUAUUUCGGUAUGUAAAGCUCUAUCAGCAGGGAAGAUAAUGACGGUACCUGACUAAGAAGCCCCGGCUAACUACGUGCCAGCCGCCGCGGUAAUUC